AGAGAAGAUCGAAAACCCUCACCAUCCAUCGCGAAGAUACUUAGCCAAAUCGCGAAUGAAACGUAACAUUCAUCACCCUUGUUAGCUUUUCCCGUCUUCUUCGCGCCACUCAUCACCCCAAAUCAGAGAAAGGGUCCGCCAUCACCACACCACUCACGGCAUCACCACUCACCUCCAAGAAGACUCUGCACUCACUCAUCUUCACCACUCACCACGCCGUCACUCAUCUUCACCGCACCGUCACUUCUCUUCGCUGUGCGCUCACAUCAAGAAGACGCUGCGCUCAACUGAAAGCCUCUCUUCAUUUGCUCACCAUCGUCGAAAAGGAGAACUCAUUCUUCUAGGUUCGUUCACCACAAGCCCUAGGUUCGUUCGUCUAUUGUCUAUUCUUGCGAUUUUGUGUAUCAAGCAGCGGAGGAGAUAACUCAAAUCAAAACUUCAAGCAGCGACGAGACUGUUGGUAUGCCUCUUCCCCCACUCUUCGUUUGUAACUGAUUCAUCUCCACUCACCGCGAUGGAGAACUGAGAUGGUAGUGACGAUGAACCGAGACAAUGGAACAAGUAAAGCUGCAAAAUUCUUGAGAGCCAAUUGAAUUUCUCUUUUCAAAGUACCAGAAGAAACAGUAGAGCUACUUGGGAAAUCUGACCUGUAUUUCUUUAGCCCCGAGCAUCCUCCAUUGACCGAACCAGCUCAGAAAGCCCUUGACUGGGCCAUGGAUGAGAAAUUGAAGUCAGGUAUUAUGGUUUCUGCCUUUCAGUUCCAUGCCAAAAUUUGUUCAAUAA